CCUACGGGAGGCAGCAGUGGGGAAUAUUGGACAAUGGGCGAAAGCCUGAUCCAGCAAUGCCGCGUGUGUGAAGAAGGCCUGCGGGUUGUAAAGCACUUUUGUUCGGGAAGAAAACGGAUCGGUUAAUACCCGGUUCGGAUGACGGUACCGAAAGAAUAAGCACCGGCUAACUUCGUGCCAGCAGCCGCGGUAAUACGAAGGGUGCAAGCGUUAAUCGGAAUUACUGGGCGUAAAGCGUGCGUAGGCGGCUUCUUAAGUCGGAUGUGAAAUCCCCGGGCUUAACCUGGGAAUGGCAUCCGAUACUGGGGAGCUGGAGUUUGGGAGAGGGUGGUGGAAUUCCCGGUGUAGCGGUGAAAUGCGUAGAGAUCGGGAGGAACAUCAGUGGCGAAGGCGGCCACCUGGCCUAAAACUGACGCUGAGGCACGAAAGCGUGGGGAGCAAACAGGAUUAGAUACCCUGGUAGUCCACGCCCUAAACGAUGAGAACUGGACGUUGGGAGGAAUUCGCCUCUUAGUGUCGAAGCUAACGCGUGAAGUUCUCCGCCUGGGGAGUACGCUCGCAAGAGUGAAACUCAAAGGAAUUGACGG
rnacentral:rRNA from 1 species